AUUGAACGCUGGCGGCAGGCCUAACACAUGCAAGUCGAGCGGAUGAAGGGAGCUUGCUCCUGGAUUCAGCGGCGGACGGGUGAGUAAUGCCUAGGAAUCUGCCUGGUAGUGGGGGAUAACGUCCGGAAACGGGCGCUAAUACCGCAUACGUCCAGAGGGAGAAAGUGGGGGAUCUUCGGACCUCACGCUAUCAGAUGAGCCUAGGUCGGAUUAGCUAGUUGGUGGGGUAAAGGCCUACCAAGGCGACGAUCCGUAACUGGUCUGAGAGGAUGAUCAGUCACACUGGAACUGAGACACGGUCCAGACUCCUACGGGAGGCAGCAGUGGGGAAUAUUGGACAAAGGGCGAAAGCCUGAUCCAGCCAUGCCGCGUGUGUGAAGAAGGUCUUCGGAUUGUAAAGCACUUUAAGUUGGGAGGAAGGGCAGUAAGUUAAUACCUUGCUGUUUUGACGUUACCAACAGAAUAAGCACCGGCUAACUUCGUG
rnacentral:rRNA from 1 species